rnacentral:ncRNA from 1 species
AAAAAAUCAAUGACAGGAACUAGUAGCAAAAAUUACUUUGUUUAGAGAGUCGGUGGCUGGUGAAAACCGAUCAAAGUGUUUUGUGAAUCCAUCCUCGAGUGAAGAGCUGAACGUUCAGUAAGCUUUUCCGGUGAAGAACCGUUACAUGUAAUCGAGCCGGCAAUAGAAAUUCUAUUGCAAUUAGGGUGGCAACGCGGGUUAACUCUCGUCCCUAUU